GAUGAAGAACGUAGCGAAAUGCGAUAAGUAAUGUGAAUUGCAGAAUCCAGUGAAUCAUCGAAUCUUUGAACGCACAUUGCGCCCGCCAGCAUUCUGGCGGGCAUGCCUGUUCGAGCGUCAUUUCAACCCUCGACCUCCCUUUGGGGAAGUCGGCGUUGGGGACCGGCAGCACACCGCCGGCCCUGAAAUGGAGUGGCGGCCCGUCCGCGGCGACCUCUGCGUAGUAAUCCAACUCGCACCGGAACCCCGACGCGGCCACGCCGUAAAACACCCAACUUCUGAACGUUGACCUCGAAUCAGGUAGGACUACCCGCUGAACUUAAGCAUAUCCAAUAAGCGGAGGA
rnacentral:misc_RNA from 1 species